AUAAAGUAACUGACAAUCAAAUCAAUCCUUGUUAAUAUAAUGUGAUUGAAUAUUGUCGUAGCUAGGCGGCCAGUCAGGUUCAUAAGAAACCUGACAAACAGAAAGAGAACAUCAGAAAAAACCAACCAUACCGGACAAGCAUAUAUAGAAAUAUCAUUUAAUUGUAAUUUUCAUAUUUAAUUUGUAGAAGCUUAAUUAUCUCUCAUAUCACGCGUGGUAUUGAUGAAAACAUUUAGCAGACAAGAUGAAAAUAAUAUAAUACUCUACUCUAGUUCUAUGCUUUAAGGUUGUUUGCUGUUUGUUUUCAGCAUCAGCAUGCAUCUUUCAUGUGAAGAAAAGUUAAUUAUGAUUAUCAUAUCUUGUCAUCAUUUCAAUUCAAAGGGUAGGUUUGCACUAGAUUAAUUACAAGGGACAUUAUGAUUGAUGUAUCAGAGAGAGUAGCUAGGUUGGCAAAUGCAACUUAUGAUUCCAUCCUCGUAAUAAAAAUUGAGGAGCUUGGGGAAAUUAACCUCCAACUUAAUUUCUUCCUUUCUUCUGCCUGUUAUGGAGAGGAUUUGCUCCUGUUGGCACACCUCUCUUGUCCUCCAAAGUGUUAUUGCAAGAAAUUUUGCAGAAUGAAUCCGUCUGGGAGAAAUUGUAAGUUCCAGGAGCACCGGCUGGAGCUCCAAAAUUUGCAAAAAUCAAUAGAAUCACAAGAAGAAAUGUAAUUGCACCCAUACUCAUCACCAUUCAACAAAACUCGACCUCACUUGUUGGAUUAACGAUUAUUCAAAAGCAUGAUCAUGAACCAUGACAUGACGGUAAGAUGUCUAGAAAAGAUCUUCACUAACCAUAUUAAUAUAUAGCUGCUGAAGGAGGCACUUCUGAUUCUUGAUGAAGGAAGACUGGCAUACUCAAAAAAAGCAGCUUGAAUUAAUCUUGUUUUAGACCCCCUGAAGGAAUGAUUCAGCUAGUUAUCAGGAAGUUCAAACAAAAUGGGAUAUCAGAAAAAGCCUUUGGGCGAUCGAUGAAUGUUUUGAAUCUUCAUUUCGAUGUCUGGUUCGUCUUAUGGACAAGUUUUUUGGACAGUAGUU
rnacentral:lncRNA from 1 species